rnacentral:rRNA from 2 species
CGCGCAGGCGGCUCUUCAAGUCAGGGGUGAAAGCCCAGAGCUCAACUCUGGAAUUGCCUUUGAGACUGUAGAGCUUGAGUACGGGAGAGGUGAGUGGAAUUCCCAGUGUAGAGGUGAAAUUCGUAGAUAUUGGGAAGAACACCGGUGGCGAAGGCGGCUCACUGGCCCGUUUCUGACGCUCAGGCGCGACAGCGUGGGGAUCAAACAGGAUUAGAUACCCUGGUAGUCCACGCCGUAAACUAUGAACGCUAGCCGUUGGCAGGCUUGCCUGUCAGUGGCGCAGCUAACGCAUUAAGCGUUCCGCCUGGGGAGUACGGCCGCAAGGUUGAA